CUUGUGUUUUUAAUUUUACCAGUAUUACAAGUCGUCCACUGAUGGCUUAGUGGUAUGUCGUUUAGCCUGUCUCGAUAAGCAUUUGGGUUCAAAUCCAGUUGAACUCAUGUUUUGUAGCAGACUCACAAUAUUUUUUUCCCUUUAUUUAUUCUGACUAUUUUUUAUUCUUUUCAUACCUCUAUGUGCAAAAUCCGUUUACAAGUAUAAGAAAAUAUUGCCAUGUUGAAACUGGCUCGAAAAGAUUAAGUUAAUCAUUCCAUAUUGUCUAAUUUCGCAAGGAUUUAACGCGGCACUUGCCGUGCGAUAGUAACUUCUUGUUUUAGUUGACACUAUCACGAAGCCGGCGAACGGCUAAGCGUGGUAGAAAGUAUAUUAAAACCCGGCUAAGCACGGCUAAGCAUUUUUUAUAUGAAAAUGCGCAUUAAAAUUCCCCUGUACCAAAACGUUUUGCAUCAAUAUGCGUGUUGAACAUUUCUAAG